rnacentral:rRNA from 1 species
UACAGAGGUCUCAAGCGUUGUUCGGAUUCAUUGGGCGUAAAGGGUGCGUAGGUGGCGCUGUAAGUCGGGUGUGAAAUUUCGGAGCUUAACUCCGAAACUGCAUUCGAUACUGCGGUGCUUGAGGACUGGAGAGGAGACUGGAAUUCAUGGUGUAGCAGUGAAAUGCGUAGAGAUCAUGAGGAAGACCAGUGGCGAAGGCGGCGACCUGGACAAGUACUGACACUCAACUGCGAAAGCGUGGGGAGCAAACAGG